ACUUAAUUAGUUUAUUUAAAAUAUUAGUUUGUGGAACUAAUGAUAUAUUUGUUACUAUAUAUUAAGUA
rnacentral:tRNA from 1 species